AGCUGCCGCUGCCGCCGCCGCCGGAGGAGUCUCGGCCUGCAGAGUGGAACCCCGAACUGAGGGUGAAGAGAGACACGGUGACACUGAACCGCGGGUCCUAAGGGCACGGCCAGGCACGGAGGCGGCCAGGCAGGAGCGGCACAGACGCUAAGUACUGCAGGAAGGCCUCAGCAGGCAAGCCAAAGGCUGGCAGCUCCCAGGGACCGCAGAAGGAGCUCAGGUGCCUUUAAUCAGCCAGGUAGAGCUUGUCUGUAAUUAACCUUUGCACUGGGAAUAGAAGGAAGAAACAAAGCCCUGCUGGGAAGCAGGGUGAGAAAAGCACACACCAAAUUGCUCAUCCUGCUCCCAGCCUAAGCACUGGGGAGGGAUGCAGAGAGGAGAGGGCAGACCCAGGUUUGGACAGAUGAACAUUCCCUCACUUCAGUGCCUCCAAAGGUCUGGAAAUUGGAAAACACCAGCCCUUGGACCAAGACCUCUGAUUCCAUGCUGAGGCACCAGAGCCUUGUGGUUUUUAGGAACAAGCCAAGUAAGAAGCAGCAUUACCACAAACAGCAGCAGUGGCCUCUUUGGCAGAGCAGAAGCACAGCCCUGAGUGGAGUCCAACACACAGCUACACACACAGUCCUAGGCCAGCACAAGACGUGCCUGCUCACAGCAACCUUCUGCCCAGCGAGGGAAAAAAUUGCCCUCAAACGGCCUCAGGUUCUGAGGGCAGAACUACAGGGACAACCCUCUGCUUGUGCUGUGGUUAACAGCCCAUAACCAGCUGUGACACUCAGGACUUUACCCCUAGCAGAUGGAAAAAGCCAUUCAUCCAUCACCAAGCAGGAUGAAGAACCCACCUGCUGAGGAACAUCACUGCCAGGUCACAGAUACCUCCUCACUCCUUGGCCAGGGGAAAAGAAAGUGAGCAAGGCUUAACCUUGCUCCUCUCCAGGAGGUGUUAAGCUGUCCAAGCACUGAACCUUCACACCUCUGAGCUUCUUUGGAAGGAGAGGGAGGGUUGCAAGCCAGCACUUGGGAGAUGCAUGUGGUUGGUAUUCAGAAACGCUGCCACUUGAGAAACUACAUUUGUGCUCUGUGAAGGCCAAACAUAUGGUAGGGCUUUCUGCAUGUGCAUUAAACACUUUGCUAUUCUCCCUUGCUAGGGCUGGAAGGACUGUGAGAUCACCCACAGAACAUUUCAUGGGAAGGAGUGGAGUCAGAUGUGCCUUCAGCACCACAAAACUAACACACAGGGGUAGGGAAGGGUAUUGGUGGUAGCAAACAGGGAGAAACAGGAGAGGAGACCUGCUCAGAGAGGACUGCACUCAAGGAGCUGUAGCAGUGCCUUAAUUCACCACCACCACUUAGGCAGAG